rnacentral:lncRNA from 1 species
GCUAGAUGUAUCGAUUCUAUCAUUCCUCUACCGCCUAUCAGAGUACUUCACUGUACUCAAUUAGUCGUAAAGGGCCUCUCAUAUGUUCGUCUGCAUCCACUGAUCUAUGCAAAACUUUCAAUCCGAUGGUGACUCAAAACUAGAGUACUCUAUGGUGGACUGUCGAGGGUUGUACAGCCCAUCCCAGAACCUCUACAUGGCUGCCACCUCGAAGGUCCGACAGCCAGCCUCUUCAUCUUGAGGAGUCUCAAAUCGAUAGUAUCCCUGC